rnacentral:rRNA from 1 species
UAGGGAAUCUUACGCAAUGGUCGCAAGUCUGACGGAGCAACGCCGCGUGAGUGAAGAAGGAUUUCGGUUCGUAAAACUCUGUUGUUAGAGAAGAACAGCGCAUAGAGUAACUGUUAUGCGUGUGACGGUAUCUAACCAGAAAGCCACGGCUAACUACGAGCCAGCAGCCGCGGUAAUACGUAGGUGGCAAGCGUUGUCCGGAUUUAUUGGGCGUAAAGCGAGCGCAGGCGGUCAAUUAAGUCUGAUGUGAAAGCCCCCGGCUCAACCGGUGAGGGUCAUUGGAAACUGGUUGACUUGAGUGCAGAAGAGGCGAGUGGAAUUCCAGGUGUAGCGGUGAAAUGCGUAGAUAUAUGGAGGACCACCUGUGGCGAAGGCUACUCUCUGGUCUGUAACUGACGCUGUGGCUCGAAAGCGUGGGUAGCAAACAGG